AGGUUUUUGGAGGAAGGUUCGUCCGCUCCAAGUUAGUCGGGAGCUAAGGUGAGGCCGGAAGGCGUAGCCGAUGCACAGACGGUAGAGAUUCCGUCACCACCAAAAGAGUUAAGCACAGGGACACAUUCAAAGUCUCAGAGCCGGGUGUUGGUUCCGGUAGAGAUCGAGGGAAAAUAGUACCGAAGUCUGGGAUGGAGGAUGGCGAGAAAAGCUGUGUGUAUUUCUGCGGUGCCCGUACCGCAAACCGACACAGGUAGGUAGGAAGAAGAUUCUAAGGCCAACGGGAGAAGGGUUGUUAAGGAACUCGGCAAAUUGACCCCGUAACUUCGGGAGAAGGGGUGCUCUAGCAAUAGAGCCGCAGAGAAUCGGCCCAAGCAACUGUUUACCAAAAACACAGGUUUGUGCUAAAUCGAAAGAUGACGUAUACGAGCUGACGCCUGCCCGGUGCUGGAAGGUUAAGAGGAGAUGUGCAAGCAUUGAAUCGAAGCCCCAGUGAACGGCGGCCGUAACUAUAACGGUCCUAAGGUAGCGAAAUUCCUUGUCAGGUAAGUUCUGACCCGCAUGAAAGGCGUAAUGAUUUGGGCACUGUCUCAACAGCCCGCCCGGCGAAAUUGUAGUACCGGUGAAGAUGCCGGUUACCCGCGACAAGACGGAAAGACCCCAUGGAGCUUUACUGUAGCCUAAUAUUGGGUUUCGAUGUUGCAUGCACAGGAUAGAUGGGACACUGGGAAGCACGGGCUUUGGCCUGUGUGGAGUGGCCGUUGGGAUACCAUCCUUGCGAUAUUGGAAUUCUAACCUGCGCCUUUGAAUCAAGGCGGGGGACAUUGUUAGGUGGGCAGUUUGACUGGGGCGGUCGCCUCCUAAAAAGUAACGGAGGCGUUCAAAGGUUCGCUCAGCUUGAACGGAAAUCAAGCAAGAGAGUGCAAACGCAGAAGCGAGCCUAACUGCGAGACUGACGGGUCGAGCAGUAACGAAAGUUGGAGUUAGUGAUCCGGUGGUAUGUGAGUGGAAAUGCCAUCGCUCAACGGAUAAAAGUUACCCUGGGGAUAACAGGCUGAUCUCCCCCAAGAGUCCACAUCGACGGGGAGGUU
rnacentral:rRNA from 1 species